rnacentral:rRNA from 1 species
GACGAACGCUGGCGGCGGGCUUAACACAUGCAAGUCGAACGGAAAGGCCGUGCUUUUGUGGGGUGCUCGAGUGGCGAACGGGUGAGUAACACGUGAGUAACCUGCCCUUGACUGUGGGAUAACUUCAGGAAACUGGGGCUAAUACCGGAUAGGAGCGCCUGCUGCAUGGUGGGGGUUGGAAAGCUUCGGCGGUUGGGGAUGGACGCGCGGCUUAUCAGCUUGUUGGUGGGGUAGUGGCUUACCAAGGCUUUGACGGGUAGCCGGCCUGGGAGGGUGACCGGCCACAUUGGGCCUGCGAUACGCACCAGACUCCUACGGUAGGCAGCAGUGGGAAAUAUUGCACAAUGGGCGGAAGCCUGAUGCAGCAACGCCGCGUGCGGGAUGACGGCCUUCGGGUUGUAAACCGCUUUCGCCUGUGACGAAGCGUGAGUGACGGUAAUGGGUAAAGAAGCACCGGCUAACUACGUG